rnacentral:rRNA from 1 species
GAUGAACGCUGGCGGCGUGCCUAAUACAUGCAAGUCGAGCGAACGGACGAGAAGCUUGCUUUUCUGAUGUUAGCGGCGGACGGGUGAGUAACACGUGGAUAACCUACCUAUAAGACUGGGAUAACUUCGGGAAACCGGAGCUAAUACCGGAUAAUAUUUUGAACCGCAUGGUUCAAAAGUGAAAGACGGUCUUGCUGUCACUUAUAGAUGGAUCCGCGCUGCAUUAGGUAGUUGGUAAGGUAACGGCUUACCAAGGCAACGAUGCAUAGCCGACCUGAGAGAGUGAUCGGACACCCUGGAACUGAGACACGGUCCAGACUCCUACGGGAAGCAGCAGUAGGGAAUCUUACGCAAUGGGCGAAAGCCUGACGGAGCAACGCCGCGUGAGUGAUGAAGGUCUUCGGAUCGUAAAACUCUGUUAUUAGGGAAGAACAUAUGUGUAAGUAACUGUGCACAUCUUGACGGUACCUAAUCAGAAAGCCACGGCUAACUACGUG